UGGGGAAUUUUGGACAAUGGGCGAAAGCCUGAUCCAGCAAUGCCGCGUGUGUGAAGAAGGCCUUCGGGUUGUAAAGCACUUUUGUCCGGAAAGAAAUCCUUGGCUCUAAUACAGUCGGGGGAUGACGGUACCGGAAGAAUAAGCACCGGCUAACUACGUGCCAGCAGCCGCGGUAAUACGUAGGGUGCAAGCGUUAAUCGGAAUUACUGGGCGUAAAGCGUGCGCAGGCGGUUUGCUAAGACCGAUGUGAAAUCCCCGGGCUCAACCUGGGAACUGCAUUGGUGACUGGCAGGCUAGAGUAUGGCAGAGGGGGGUAGAAUUCCACGUNUAGCAGUGAAAUGCGUAGAGAUGUGGAGGAAUACCGAUGGCGAAGGCAGCCCCCUGGGCCAAUACUGACGCUCAUGCACGAAAGCGUGGGGAGCAAACAGGAUUAGAUACCCUGGUAGUCCACGCCCUAAACGAUGUCAACUAGUUGUUGGGGAUUCAUUUCCUAGUAACGUAGCUAACGCGUGAAGUUGACCGCCUGGGGAGUACGGUCGCAAGAUUAAAACUCAAAGGAAUUGACGGGGUCAUA
rnacentral:rRNA from 1 species